AACCUGCGGAGGGAUCAUUACAGAGUUUUUAACUCCUAAAACCAUGUGAACUUACCACUGUUGCCUCGGUGGAAGGUACCCGAAAGGGUGCUGGAAGCCGGCGGACAUCUAAACUCUUGUUAAUUUUUGUUAUUCUGAAUCAAACUAAGAAAUAAGUUAAAACUUUCAACAACGGAUCUCUUGGUUCUGGCAUCGAUGAAGAACGCAGCGAAAUGCGAUAAGUAAUGUGAAUUGCAGAAUUCAGUGAAUCAUCGAAUCUUUGAACGCACAUUGCGCCCAUUAGUAUUCUAGUGGGCAUGCCUGUUCGAGCGUCAUUUCAACCCUUAAGCCUAGCUUAGUGUUGGGAGACUGCCUAAUACGCAGCUCCUCAAAACCAGUGGCAGAGUUUUUACGUACUCUGAGCGCAGUAAUUCUAUUCUCGCUUUUGAACACGUCUAGACGAUAGCCAAAAACCGCUUGCCUCGGCAGCACUUUUUAAUGGUUGACCUCGGAUCAGGUAGGAAUACCCGCUGAACUUAAGCAUAUCAAUAAGCGGAGGA
rnacentral:rRNA from 2 species